CCCUUAGAUGUCCUGGGCCGCACGCGCGCUACACUGAGUGUCUGAGAUACGAGUCUGCCUGGUCCGGCAAGGUCUAGGUAAUCGCUAAAAGACACAUCAUGCUUGGGAUAGAUUAUUGCAAAUAUUAAUCUUGAACGAGGAAUUCCUAGUAAGCGCAAGUCAACAGCUUGCGUUGAUUACGUCCCUGCCCUUUGUACACACCGCCCGUCGCUACUACUGAUUGGAUGUUUAAGCGAGGUUCUCGAACUGCUAGCGACUUAGCUUCGGUGAGGUCGCAGUGUGGGAAGUGAACCGAGCCUUGGUGUCUAGAGGAAGUAAAAGUCGUAACA
rnacentral:rRNA from 1 species